rnacentral:rRNA from 1 species
UACAGAGGUCCCGAGCGUUGUUCGGAUUCACUGGGCGUAAAGGAUGCGUAGGUGGUGAGGUAAGUCGGAUGUGAAAUCUCCGGGCUCAACCCGGAAAUGGCAUUGGAAACUACCUUGCUGGAGGAUUUGAGGGGGGAUUGGAAUACUUGGUGUAGCAGUGAAAUGCGUAGAUAUCAAGUGGAACACCAGUGGCGAAGGCGAAUCCCUGGAAAAUACCUGACACUGAGGCACGAAAGCUAGGGGAGCAAACAGG